rnacentral:rRNA from 1 species
AUUGAACGCUGGCGGCAGGCCUAACACAUGCAAGUCGAGCGCGCGGCGGACGGGUGAGUAAUGUCUGGGAAACUGCCCGAUGGGGGGGGAUAACUACUGUAAAAGGUGGCUAAUACCGCCUACCAUCAGCUGUGCCCAGAUGGGAUUAGAGAGUAGGUGGGGUAACGGCUCACCAAGGCGACGCGACCUCGCUGGUCUGAGAGGAUGACCAGCCACACUGGAACUGAGACACGGUCCAGACUCCUACGGGAGGCAGAAGUGGGGAAUAUUGCACAAUGGGCGCAAGCCUGAUGCAGCCAUGCCGCGUGUGUGAAGAAGGCCUGCGGGUUGUAAAGUACUUUCAGCGGGGAGGCGUUACCCGCAGAAGAAGCACCGGCUAACUCCGUGCCAGCAGCCGCGGUAAUAC